CCUUUGACGUUAGCGGCGACGGGUGAGUAACACGUGGGUAACCUACCUAUAAGACUGGGAUAACUUCGGGAAACCGGAGCUAAUACCGGAUAAUAUUUCGAACCGCAUGGUUCGAUAGUGAAAGGNGGUUUUGCUAUCACUUAUAGAUGGACCCGCGCCGUAUUAGCUAGUUGGUAAGGUAACGGCUUACCAAGGCGACGAUACGUAGCCGACCUGAGAGGGUGAUCGGCCACACUGGAACUGAGACACGGUCCAGACUCCUACGGGAGGCAGCAGCU
rnacentral:rRNA from 1 species